rnacentral:rRNA from 1 species
GACGAACGCUGGCGGCGUGCCUAAUACAUGCAAGUAGAACGCUGAAGAGAGGAGCUUGCUCUUCUUGGAUGAGUUGCGAACGGGUGAGUAACGCGUAGGUAACCUGCCUUGUAGCGGGGGAUAACUAUUGGAAACGAUAGCUAAUACCGCAUAACAAUGGAUGACACAUGUCAUUUAUUUGAAAGGGGCAAUUGCUCCACUACAAGAUGGACCUGCGUUGUAUUAGCUAGUAGGUGAGGUAAUGGCUCACCUAGGCGACGAUACAUAGCCGACCUGAGAGGGUGGUCGGCCACACUGGGACUGAGACACGGCCCAGACUACUGCGGGAGGCAGCAGGAGGGGAGCUUCGGCAAUGGGGGCAACCCUGACCGAGCAACGCCGCGUGAGUGAAGAAGGUUGUCGGAUCGUAAAGCUCUGUUGUAAGUCAAGAACGGGUGUGAGAGUGGAAAGUUCACACUGUGACGGUAGAUUACCAGAAAGGGACGGCUAACUACGUG